AUGCUGCCUUAUCUUGCUGAUGGUUUCAUGGACAAUAAAAGGAAAGAAGGUUACAAAAUGGACAUUACCCAGAUGUCAGGCUUGAAGCUUCAUAAAGUAACUGAACAGAAUUUGGAAAACAAUACUCUUCUAGGGAGUGUAAUAUGUACCUUCUUUGACAAAUCACACUUGGGCCAGUCUGCAGGAUGGGCAGAAGCACUCCUGGCUGCUCUUGUAAAGAACCGGAUCUAA
rnacentral:lncRNA from 1 species